GUCUACAGCCAUGCCACCCUGAACAAGCCCGAUCUUGUCUGAUCUCGGAAGCUAUGCAGGGUUGGGCCUGGUUAGUACUUGGAUGGGAGACCACCUAGGAAGACCAAGUGCAGUAGACG
rnacentral:rRNA from 1 species